rnacentral:lncRNA from 1 species
UCCAGAAAAGGGCCUCAGAUGAAAAAAACCAAACAGAUUUAGAGGUGGAGGGGUCUUAGAGAUCAUCUGACCCAAUCCUCUAAUUUUACAGUUGAAGAAACUGAAGGCAAAAGAGGUUAAAUAACUUACUCCAGGUCACACUGCUAAUUAUUAGCAGAGUUAGAAGCCAACAGCUCUCUAUUCUUAAUUUUGCUUCUGAUAAGCUCCGUGACAUAAACCAAAUACUGAAUUUCUUAGUGCUUUAGCUGCCUCUGUUAUAAAAUGGCGUUAAUACCCCCGGGAUCCUCUAUAUUUCAUAGGCAUAUUGUUAGAGCUUGUGCGUCAUGACAUGAGCAAUGUACUUCAGCUUCUGUGAAAAGCAAAUUAUCUAAUACCAUUCAAUCAGUUAGGAUUCUUUGAUGCCAAGCAAUAGAAAAUGCAUACAGCUUACCUAAGCAAAAUGUGAACUGAUCAGAAUAAUAUGAGGGGGCUCAGAGAUUGAAAGGGGAUAUUAAAUGACUGGCUUGGCAUGGAUGAGAAUGAGGGUGCUAGAGAGAGUAUUGGAAGUGGGAAGAGUACCACGGUGCUACCUAAUACCAGCGCUGGAAUGAUUCUUCUCCAGCCAUUCCUUCCAUCAGUCUGACCCUCUACUGGGGAUCCAAAAUGGUGGGAGGGAGAACUGAUUGGCUCAGAUGAGAUCACAAAUGUACCCCUUCUGCCGCAACAGAGCAGCAAGAGAGAUCUAUCAUAAAGAGCAACCCAAGUCCUGCCAGCUUCCUGAGCAAGAAGAAAGGGCACCUCAAUCACUGGCCUUCCAAGACGACAAGGAGGAAAAGGAUGCUCAGAUACAGGAUGCUCAGAUGCCUGCUGGGAAUCAUGAAGUCUCUCCAAUCAUACUCAUCCUGAGAAGAGUAAGCUUCCCUGACUUCCUAUGAUGUGACAGACACUGUGCUGAUUGCUUUGCAUGCACACCACCACCACAGACCCUGUCCAAGAUGGAGAAGUGUAGCCUGACAGGACCCAGUAAAAUCUGAAGGUCCUGGCACACCCGACCACUCUGCCUGCAGCAAAAUGUCGGAGGCCAUUAAGGGGCUGAAGGGUAGGAAAGCAAACUAGCUUCAACAGCCCAUACUAGGCUGGUGAUAAUUCCAGGUAUGGCCAGUUUCCCACAGGUCUCAUGACUUCUGAUGCAGGCCUCUCAAUGGAGCUCUUUGGUUCUCAGCGCCCCAGGAAUUCCGUCCUUCCAAAUCCCAACCUCUUAGGCUCAGACCCAGCCUCCGCUUCUGAACUGACCUUUAGCUUCAACUCUCCGAUUAAUAUAUCAACCAUCCUUGGUCUGAGUCCAUCAGCCACUGGGCUUUUAGACCCCUAUCCUAGAAACAGGUGACGCUGCUCACAGCCCACAAUAAGGGAAAUUACUAAUUUACAUAGCAUUUAGACCAGAAUUCAAAUUCAGAAUAUUUAACCCAAACUGGUAAGUUUUGAACAGCAGUAGACAGGUCUCCUAAAAAAUGUCUUCCUUCUUGUCCAUCUUCCACAGUCCAAAAAUUUCACCGUUUAAGAUUUAAUUCCUAAGGUCUUAAAAGUGUUCUGUUUUUUCUAUCUGAAAGACUCUAAGUGUCUUGAAAUGCAUAUCCCUCAGACUAUUUGUACAGCCGUCAAUAUCAUUUGUGUAGAUCACCAACCGUGUAAAUGUAAGACUCCAGGACUUUAUUAUAUUUAACCUUACUAUCUAUUACAUUUAAUCUUCAAAUUAAAUCUGCAGGUCACACUCGUUAUAACAAUCUCAAGAUGAAGAAACAGGUUCAGAGAAGAUCACAUAGCUUUCGGGUAGCUAAGAAGUAGCUGUGACUGACCCAAAAGGCCAUUCUCAUUGUGUUUCCAUACUGCCUGCUCAAACUUGGUUGACUUAAAUUGACUGAUUUUAAAUUAAAA